CACGUAGGGUGCGAGCGUUGUCCGGAAUUAUUGGGCGUAAAGAGCUCGUAGGCGGUUUGUCGCGUCUGCUGUGAAAUCCCGAGGCUCAACCUCGGGCCUGCAGUGGGUACGGGCAGACUGGAGUGCGGUAGGGGAGAAUGGAAUUCCUGGUGUAGCGGUGGAAUGCGCAGAUAUCAGGAGGAACACCGAUGGCGAAGGCAGUUCUCUGGGCCGUAACUGACGCUGAGGAGCGAAAGCGUGGGGAGCGAACAGG
rnacentral:rRNA from 1 species